GAUCAUACUCUUCACAGAUAUCACUUUUCUCACUCGUCAGUGUUUGAGACUAGCAUACGGCUCUGACAACCUCGCGGCUGAGUCAUAAUUGCAAUAUCAAGCCUCACAGCGAGUGUGUGACAUGCCGCUGCGGCCUGGUGCCACCGCAGCCCGGUUUCUGUGUGGCAUUCCGCAGAUCCUCGCGACUUUCCAGUGGGGAGUGAGGCCUCACCAUAACUGUGAAGGGAAUGGCAACCACAAAGUGUCUUCAUUUUAGUGGCCGGCGGCUGGAGAACUGCACCAUGGAACUGUACAGUCGUGAAGGAGGACUGUUAGUGGCUUUGCUGCUGCAUCUGUGCCAGGCUCAAGAUGUCACACAGGAAACUAAUGAUAUGAAUGGCAUCGUCACCUCCAGGGACCCUUUGCUGGGGCCUGUGGAGCCCAAUCAGGAAACACUGAUACCUGGCAACGCUGCCAAGGCCCUUCCCCCUUUCCCCACCCAGAGUCCGGAGCAUGCAGACACUGUUGAACUGCUGGAGGAGCACACAGACCACACACGGCCCUCCUCUCCAGAAGUAUGGAAAAUUGGAGCGAUAGCAGCAGCGUUCUUCCUCAUUCUACAAACUGUCAUUACCGUCAUCUACAUUCUCAAGUGUAAAAGAAAGACUAGCAGAAACUCUUUGGACAGUCUGCCGAUAUACUCGAAGGUCCAGCAAGAGUCUAUCCCAAUGAAAACUAUCCCAGCAGACUCUACAGUGGUGUAAUCAUUAUAUGACCCAUCAACACCUUUGCUUUAGAACUGCUUAAACACCACUGACCAAUACAGACAUUGUUGACUGUCUGUAUCUUUGUGACUGUGGUUUACAACAGACUGUUGGUUUUACAUGUUUAUGAUAGUUUACUUGUGAUACGUUGUUUUAUUGUUGUAUUAUUUCUUGUUACCUUCAUCACGUAAUACUAAAUCUAUAUAGUUUAGUGUUGACAGUAUACUGUAGGUAUAUAUACACACUAUACAUCUGUACUGUAGUUGGUUGUGAUUUGAGUGGAUUAAAUAUUCUAUAAAAAAAAAAGGAA
rnacentral:lncRNA from 1 species